UGGUGAAUAUUGGACAAUGGGGGGAACCCUGAUCCAGCCAUGCCGCGUGUGUGAAGAAGGCCUUAUGGUUGUAAAGCACUUUAAGCGAGGAGGAGGGUACUGGUAUUAAUACUACCAGCUACUGGACGUUACUCGCAGAAUAAGCACCGGCUAACUCUGUGCCAGCAGCCGCGGUAAUACAGAGGGUGCGAGCGUUAAUCGGAUUUACUGGGCGUAAAGCGUGCGUAGGCGGCUAAUUGAGUCGGAUGUGAAAUCCCCGAGCUUAACUUGGGAAUUGCAUUCGAUACUGGUUAGCUAGAGUGUGGGAGAGGAUGGUAGAAUUCCAGGUGUAGCGGUGAAAUGCGUAGAGAUCUGGAGGAAUACCGAUGGCGAAGGCAGCCAUCUGGCCUAACACUGACGCUGAGGUACGAAAGCAUGGGGAGCAAACAGG
rnacentral:rRNA from 1 species